rnacentral:rRNA from 1 species
CACGUAGUUAGCCGGGGCUUCUUGGUCGGGUACCGUCUUUCUUCUUCCCCGCUGACAGGGCUUUACGCGCCGAAACGCUCCUUCACCCACGCGGCGUUGCUGCAUCAGGGUUUCCCCCAUUGUGCAAUAUUCCCCACUGCUGCCUCCCGUAGGAGUUUGGGCCGUGUCUCAGUCCCAAUGUGGCCGUCCGCCCUCUCAGGCCGGCUACCGAUCGUCGCUUUGGUGGGCCGUUACCCCGCCAACUGGCUAAUCGGGCGCGGGCCCAUCCCGUGCCGCCGGAGCUUUCCGCAUACACCCAUGCGGCUGUAUGCGCUUAUGCGGUAUUAGCGCCUGUUUCCAGGCGGUAUCCCCCGGCACGGGGCAGGUUGCCCACGCGUUACUCACCCGUCCGCCACUAAGUAUAUAACCUUCCAUCCGUAAACUUCCGCUUAUAUACCCCGUUCGACUUGCAUGUGUUAGGCACGCCGCCAGCGUUCAUCCUGAGCCAGGAUCAAACUCU